GAUAAUAUUUUGGGCAGCUACUGACAGACCUCAACACUUUGCUGUUUGUCGUCUUGUACAGCUUUCUGUAUGAACUGCAGCAAGUCUUGAUAGUGCACCUGCAAAUCAGCAUGAGGUUCUGCUUGAUGAUUGAUCUCCAGUACCUGCUUCGGGUCGCUGGUGUUACUGAAGGAGUGGAACAUACAGCCCAGUGUAGUGAGCUUCAGAGGGAGCUGCAGUCUGAGGAACAGACAUGUGAGUUCUGACUGAUGGAUGGUUCCUGAUCGGGACGGAUCGAGUGAUGUCACUUCCUCCUCCAUGAUCUGGAAUGUUCGUGGCUCCAGAUCCUGCAGUUCCUCUGAGACGGAUGAGAGGAGGCAGAACUCUGGACUCAAUUUAACUGGCUCCUCUGUCUGGACAUAUUGAGUCUAUAAAACAGGCUCUCUCAAAGCGAGUGCCCUUGUCCGGAGCUGAUAUGUGUCUGAGAUACAAGCACGGAUGAGGUUAGGAGCAGCAAUAUCCACAAAUAAGAGCACAGCCUGUUCUCUCUAGAGUUCUCUGGACUCCAGGGGUACAAUCUCAACUGUGCCAUGGUUACCCGACCAGCCCAACCUCUCUGCCACAGCCACUUCCAGUAAAUACACAGAUAAGAGUGAUUUAUUACAGUCUGCUUCAGAAAGAAAGUCAUUCCGCCUGACUACACAACGAUAAGGACAGAUCAGACAAGACAGGAGUGAAGUGGGAGAGAGAGAAGAGGGCGGAUUUGGGAAAGGUCCUCAAGUUGGGAUUCAAACACGGGACGCCCGAAGCGCAAUGGCGCUGUAGUCGGCUACGUCGAUUUUAUUUUUUAAUAAGUAAAUAUGUAACAUACUUUUAAAAUAUCAAUUCAUUUAGGCCUUUAUGCUUCAGUUGUUCAGGUUUCAAGGGCAGUGAUAUGAAGUGCUGCCUCUAGGGGGCGACCUAACACAGGAAGUAGACAUUUCAUUCCCAAUCUUUCAAGUGAGCUUUGCCAGUACUUUCAGGUCAAGCUGACAUUAGUAAUCAACAGCACAUUACUUGAAGAUUUAUUUAUUGUUGUUCAGUUCCACGGCAGAUGAAGUCUUCCAGCCAGUGUGCCCAUCAUGCUGAUCCUGACCUGUACUCUCAGGGUGUAAUUAUUUCAUCCAUCAGGAUUAAUGACUGGUCUGUAGUUUAUUUGAUGGCAGUAAAGGUGCUAAUAGAAUCAGUUUUAAUUUGAGCACAAUUCUUGAUAAGCUACGGGGAGAUACAGACCGGUAGAAUUGGGCUAAUUACCUGUGGAGGACCUCAAACCGGUUAAUCCGCUGUCUUUUAUUGAAACGUGAGCGCAGAAUGUGCUUCUGAUUGGACUUGCAAUGGUCAAACGAAAGGCCAGCACGUGGCGGAUAAAGAACACAAGUCUAAUAAGCAACGCGGUUCUCUAUUUUGUUUGAUUUGUGCAAAUUAAGGCGUGAAAGUGGCUCUUAAUGAAUGCGGAAAUGGGUGGUUUUGGGGGGCAUCAGUAGUCGUGGCACAUCCCAGUGUUUCUGCCUUUCUAAACGGCUUAACACGGUUGAAGUGUGAAAGUCAGGCUAAUUCUGAUCUUAAUGAUCAAAAUGUAAUCCAGCCGGCGGAGGCUCGGACUCCCUCCAUGAGGCAGAUUGCACAGCUCAAACCUCAAAGGAGCAUAAAAUCACAGUGCUAACACACCACACAGUCCACUCCAACUUCAGAGGCAGGCAAAGACUGAAAGAUGAAAGAGAGAGAGAGUUGGUUAGAGAUCUGGGAUGACAACUGAAAGACUGUAGGUUCAAACCUCACAAGAGGUGAUUGAGGAGCUCAAAUGAGGCUCUAAUCUAUGGUUAAGAUUCAUAUUAAUGUGUCAUUCCUAUCAUUCCGAUUGGAAUUCCGACAUCAUUUGGAAUCAGUCCUGAUGGGAUGAGAUAAAUAAAUCCUCUUAGAACUAAAUGAGAUGCAACUGGAUAAGAUGAAA